UGAAGACUUUGCAAAGCUGGUCUGUUAACUAGACUGGCAGCCAGAAUUGCAGUGUUCAUAAGGCUGCAAACUAUCAGAGCUGGAAGACAGCAUAGAAAUAAUUUAGUCCAGUCUUUUGGUAAUCCACUUGAUAAAAAUGGAUGAAGAAUAUGAGUUCUAGAGGGGUGAAUUUAGUAGCCAACAUCCCUUUAGCCAGUGGAAGGCAACACUUACACUGAAUUAGUGUAAGGAGCACAGAAUUCAGAGCUGCAAAAACAAAUAAUAAAUGGAGGAAGGAAAGAAACGGCCAUUUAGUGAGCAUCUGUUGUAUGCCCAACACAGAGGUGCUCUGAAAAUAUCAUUUAUUUAAUAAUGAUAACAAAAAAAUAGAGCUGCAUAGAAAUCAAAUAGUUUGCUGGUGCUAAUUUUAACCAAAAUUCAUUUUCUUUUCUCUAAUAAUCCAGUUAUGGGAAGUGAACAAGUUACUUAGCUUCUCUGACCAUUUGAUUGCCAGUAAAUCAAAUGGAGAAAUGGAAUUUUUGUUUGUUUGUUUGUUUUGUACUAGGGAUUGAAUCCAGGGUACUCUACUACUGAGCUAUAUCCCCAGUCCUUUUUAUUUUUUUAUUUUGAGAUAGGGUCUGACUCAGUUGCUUAGGGCCUCACUAAGUUUCUGGAAAUGACUUCAAAUUUACAGUUCUCCUGCCUCAGCCUCCCGGGUCACCGAGCUUACCAAUGUGCAUCAAUUUGCAUGGCUCAAAUGGAGAUAUUAUUGCUCCACUCGGCUCAUUCAGACUGAUUUUGAAGACCAAAUGAAAUUUUGUAUGUGCAAAUUAUUUGGAAAUUGAAAGGGUUCCUCCAGAACAAAGUGGUGGAAUUAAAGUUUGGAGGUAGGAGUCCCAGAUCUCCUGGUUUUGGCAUAGAGGUAGAGUUCCAUUCAUAGUAGCAUCCUGGAUCUUGAUCCACACGUUUUUGCUCACUGUGGGCAUGCCCUGCCUGGUAUUUCUUUCCCACCUCAGAUUCAUUGUGGGGAGCCACCUGUGAGCCACUUGAGUGGUACUGAGCCAUGAAUAUUUAGGUAUUUUUUUCCCUUGGGAACUAUCCUGGCUUUCUCCGUGUGCAUCAGAUCACCCAAGGCAUGAGAUCUCUUGUCUUUGCUCUACUUGGGAGACAAAUCUUGUAGCUCCAGAGUUGGGUGAAACCCUUUGGGAACUGGACAGUUCACCUCUUACCUUAUUUGGCAAAGAACAUUCCAUGAAAAACCUUUGAUGUUCCCCCCAUAUAAAAAAAACAAACGUGGGCACCAUUCCUCUUUUUCUAGUGUGGAAGCUCGAUCCCUGAGAUGGCUAGCUGUCCCACCUCAGCUUUUUAAAAAUUACUUUCUGUGUCCUGUGGGUUUUUUCGCUGCCUUGUCUUUCUUAGCCUUUAUUUCACAGCCAGCCACUCCACGAAAAGGAACCCCAAUUCUGUCAUUUGUGUGGGACGAGGGUGAGAACUCAUAUCCUUGGUUUCAUAACCCUGUCGCUAAUCAUUCACACCCUUGGCUCUGUUUCCAUGUUCAGACUCUGGACUGGCCUGAGCCUAGUAUUUUGACCCUGAUUUGGAUCAUCCCAUCACCCCAAUGCAGCAUUGACAAUGAGAUACAUUUCAAGGAUGGGUAGAAAGUUGAGAGUAGAGGGCACUCACUGCUAGAUGUCAGAAUCUUAUGGUCCAGCCAGUGUGGCAGCACAUACCUAAAAUCCCAGUGGCACUGGAGGCUGAGGCAGGAGGAUUGCAGGUUUGGUGCCAGCCUCACAAUUUUAGCAAGGCCCUAAGCAACUUAGUGAGAUCCUGUCUCAAAAUAAAAAAAUUAAAAGGUCUGGGGAUGUGGCUCAGUGUUUAAGCACCCUUGGGUUCAAUCCCUGGGGAAAAAGAGAUCUUACAGUCUGCUUUAGUAGGGAUUCAUGAGCUUGGGCUCCAAGGAAGCAGAAAGGAGAGAGAAGGUAUAUAAAUUUGAGAGGCUGCUGAUAACAAAUUUAGUUUUUUUUUCCCUUGGGAACUAUCCUUGGGAAUAGACAUUUAUUCUUUCACAGUUCUGGAGACUGGCAGGGCAUGGCCCUUCUGAAAGCUCUAAGUGGAAACCUUCUUUGCCUCUCUAGCUUCUGGUGGUUGCCAGCCACCCUUGGUAUUAUUUGGCUUGUAGAUAUGUCACUGGAACUUCUGCCUCUGUCUUCACAUGACCUUCUUCACGUGUCUGUGUCCAAAUUUCUUUUAUAAGGACAUCAGUCAUUGCGUCAGAGCCCAAUCUAAUGCAAUAGGAC
rnacentral:lncRNA from 1 species